rnacentral:rRNA from 1 species
AGUGGCGAACGGGUGAGUAACGCGUAGGUAAGCUGCCGUAAGGUUUGGGAUAGCCCUACGAAAGUAGGAUUAAUACCAGUUAGUUUAUUAGUUACCUAAGUAACUUUUAAUAAAGGAUUCGUCCGCCUUACGAUGUGCCUGCGUUAGAUUAGCUUGUUGGUAGGGUAACGGCCUACCAAGGCGAUGAUCUAUAGCCGAGUUUAGAGGCUGAUCGGCCACAUUGGGACUGAGACACGGCCCAGACUCCUACGGGAGGCAGCAGCUAAGAAUCUUCCGCAAUAGUCGAAAGACUGACGGAGCGACGCCGCGUGGAUGAUGAAGGCCCUUAGGGUUGUAAAAUUCUUUUAUAGAGGACGAAUGUUUGGUGCAGACCAAUCUGACGGUACUCUUUGAAUAAGGUCCGGCUAACUACGUGCCAGCAGCCGCGGUAAUACGUAGGGACCUAGCGUUGUUCGGAAUUAUUGGGCGUAAAGGGUACGUAGGCGGUUUGAUAAGUCAGAUGUGAAAUCCUUGGGCUUAACCUGAGGUCUGCGUCUGAUACUGUCUAACUUGAGUUACAGAGAGGAAGGCGGAAUUCCUGGUGUAGGGGUGAAAUCUAUAGAUAUCAGGAAGAACAUCUGUUGCGAAGGCGGCCUUCUGGCUGUUAACUGACGCUGAUGUACGAAAGUUAGGGUAGCAAACAGGAUUAGAGACCCU